AACGAACGCUAGCGGCAGGCUUAAUACAUGCAAGUCGAGGGGCAGCAUGGUUGUAGCAAUACAACUGAUGGCGACCGGCAAACGGGUGCGGAACACGUACACAACUUACCCUGAACUGGGGAAUAGCCCAGAGAAAUUUGGAUUAAUACCCCGUAACAUAGCGAUGUGGCAUCACAUUGCUAUUAUAGCUCCGGCGGUUUUGGAUGGGCGUGCGCCUGAUUAGGUAGUUGGCGGGGUAACGGCCCACCAAGCCUACGAUCAGUAACUGGUGUGAGAGCACGACCAGUCACACGGGCACUGAGACACGGGCCCGACUCCUACGGGAGGCAGCAGUAAGGAAUAUUGGUCAAUGGACGCAAGUCUGAACCAGCCAUGCCGCGUGAAGGAUGAAGGUCCUCUGGAUUGUAAACUUCUUUUAUAUGGGAAGAAAUUCUCGCAUUCCUGCGGGAUUGACGGUACCAUAGGAAUAAGCACCGGCUAACUCCGUGCCAGCCGCCGCGGUAACAC
rnacentral:rRNA from 1 species